AGCAGCCGCGGUAAUUCCAGCUCCAAUAGCGUAUAUUAAAGUUGUUGCAGUUAAAAAGCUCGUAGUUGAAUUUCGGGGUUAGUAGGUUGGUCAUGCCUCUGGUAUGUACUGGUCUCACUGAUUCCUCCUUCCUGAUGAACCUUAAUGCCAUUAAUUUGGUGUUUUGGGGAAUUUGGACUGUUACUUUGAAAAAAUUAGAGUGUUUAAAGCAAGCUAACGCUUGAAUACAUUAGCAUGGAAUAAUGAAAUAGGACGUUCGAUCCUAUUUUGUUGGUUUCUAGGAUUGACGUAAUGAUUAAUAGGGAUAGUUGGGGGCAUUAGGUAUUCAAUUGUCAGAAGUGAAAUUCUUGGAUUUAUUGAAGACUAACUACUGCGAAAGCAUUUGCCAAGGAUGUUUUCAUUAAUCAAGACGAAAGUUAGGGAUCGAAGACGAUCAGAUACCGUCGUAGUCUUAACCAUAAACUAUGCCGACUAGGGAUCGGGAUGAUGUUAAUUUUUAUGAACUUCAUUCGGCGCUUAC
rnacentral:rRNA from 1 species